GAAGAAACAGACUUCAGUUCAGUAGAAGAGACCACAUCAAAUUCCAUGGAGACAUCUGGAUUUGUCCAGGACAAACUAACUGAAUGGGGAUUCAGUGAGUUCAUGCAGAGAUUUAAAGAUGAAGGCAUUGACAAGGAGACGUUUCUAAACCUUGGAGAUUCAAUCCGAAUUAAUUUACUGUUUCCUAAAAUUGGACCAAGAGUAAAGUUUAGAAAGAGACUCAAAGAUUACUUACAGAUGGAGAUAUGUCAUUUUGUCCAGGAAAAAUUAACUGAAUGGCAUCUCAGUGAGCUGAUUCACAGAUUUGAAGAGGAGGGUAUUGACAAAGAAGCUUUCCUAAGUCUCGAGUCAGGCAGAAUCAAUACUUUGAUUCCAAAAAUUGGACCAAGAGUAAAGUUUAAAAGGAGACUCAGAGAAUACUUACAGGACUUGAAUAGAACACAUGAUGAUUCUGCUGACAUGAUGGAAACAAGCGCAGAGCAAGAGGACAGUCCAGAAAUGGUAUGAUCUCAUUGUGCCUGAACAUGGUUCAUUAUUGAGUGAUUAAUCUUUGAUCAUUUUUGUUAUUAAUGUCAUCAUGUUAUUAUAGAAAAAUUAAUGUUGUCAGCGUUAAUCUCCUUAAGUAAAGUAAGUAAGUAAAAUUUUAUUUAAAUAGUACCUUUCAAGAUAAAAUCACAAAGUGCUUCACACAAGCAGAAAUGGACAUACAACCUCAAACAAACAAAAGCAACCAAAAGCAAGUUUAAACAGAUACAUUUUUAACUGCUUUUUAAAUGAAAUGACUGAGUCCACAGAUCUCGAACUCAAAGGGAGCGAGUUCCAGAGUCUGGGAGCCAUUGACACAAACGGUCUGUCAUUGUUUGUUUUUAACCUUGUAUGCUGGAAAACCAGCAAGCGCUGGUCACAAGACCUCAGGGACCUGCUGGGGCGAUAAGGCAGAAGGAGAUCACUGAUGUAAGUUGGAGCUACACCGUGCAGGGCCCUAUAGGUCAUGAUUAUAAUCUUAAAAUGAACCCUGAACUUGACAGGAUGUCAGACUUGACGUCCUGACACCAUAGCCGCAUUAACGCAGCAAAUCUACGUUAGCUGGUUACCGUGGAUCUCCCCAUGGGUGAGCUGGACGCCACUAAACAAUAACAAGCUUGUGCCAUAUUGUUAAAAUGACAUUAUGGCGUUAAUGUCAUUUUAAAGAGAUUAAUGUUGACAGCACUAAUCAAAAAUACAUUUUGAUGGAUUCAAGGACUCAUAUCUUUAGAGUAAAACAGGUGUCAAUAUGAGCAAAGUGAACCAGGUUAGCUGUUUACCUAAGUCCUCUGCAGAAUUCUCCAACACAGCUCAACUGUUUUUCACAAACUGUGAGUAAACAACAUGAAGGCCUGUGCCUUGUCUGGAUAAUUAUUUGGUAUUUGUUUUCACGCAGGAGCCAAACAUUUUUCCUCAACAUUUGGAAUCUUCUUCAGCGUCUGACACAACAGAUGGCAAAGACAGGAGUAAUGAACCAAUUUGCUCCUGGGCAACAGUGACACAAGGACAAAGUCCAACCACAUUUACAAUGUUUUACUGUCAAGAGUGUAAAAACUUCAUGGGAAACGAUCCUGAUUCUUGUUGUUCUCACUGUGCCUCUGUGUUCAACAAAGCAAGCAGCAUUCAAAAUGGAAACUUCUUUCUGUACUCAUCCCUGAAAGACCUUCUGAAAGGUAUCCUUGAGAACCACAGCGCUGAGUUGUUACCUAAAACAGUUAAAGAUGAGCAUGAUAACAUCAAAGAUGUGAUGGAUGGGAUGAUGUACCAGAAUCUCCUCAGAGAGGGUAAACUAGCUGCAGAUGAUCUCACACUGACAUGGAAUUUUGAUGAAGUACCAAUUUUUAGCACCACCAGAUACUCAAUUUGGCCCCUUCAGUUUGUUAUUAAUGAACUUCCUUACACACAAAGACAGGAAAAUAUGAUAGUUGCUGGAUUUUGGUUUGGCCAAGGAAAACCUCAUAUGAACACAUUUCUGAAACCAUUUGUGGAUGAAUGUUGUGAUUUAGCCCAAAAUCCAUUUCAGUGGAGAGACAGCAGAGGCACUCUUCAUUCAUCAAAAGUCUUCUGCUUGGUUUGCUCCUCUGACGCUGUGGCGAGGCCACUUCUCCGGAAUUGCAAACAAUUCAAUGGAGAAUAUGGUUGUGACUGGUGUUUACACCCUGGCACAGUGGUACCAAAAGGCUCUGGCUCUAUGAGGUCAUACCGAUAUGAUGAAACUAAACAAGCAUCAAGAUCAAAAAAUAUGUUUGUUGAAAACACCUCAGAGUAUGGUGUAAAAGGAAUGUCCUUACUUUCCAGACUUCCUUUGUUUGACAUUGUGUUUGGAUUUGUACCAGAAUAUAUGCACUCAGUUUUAGUUGGUGUGACUAAGCAACUUAUUGGAUUGUGGCUGAACUCAGAGAACUCCAAGAAAGACUGGUAUGUAGGUCAACAGAUUUCACAGAUGGACUCUUAUCUCCGAAUGUUAAAGCCUCCAUCAGAAAUGAGCAGAUCUCUACAGUCACUGAAGGGUCGGGACACUUGGAAAGCAUCUGAGUGGCGAGCUUUCCUUUUAUUUUAUGCUGUUAGUGUCCUACCAGGCAUCCUUCAGCCUUCAUUUCUCCAACAUUUUUUUUGUUUGUCGAUCAGCAUUCACAUUCUGCUACAAGAAUCAGUCUCCCAAAAUGACCUUCAGCUGGCCCAUGAGAACUUGGUACUCUUUGUUAGAAACAUGGAAGAACUCUAUGGUGAAGAAAACAUUUCAUUCAACUGCCAUCAGUUGAUCCACUUAGCUGACUGUGUGCGUAACUGGGG
ensembl:lncRNA